CCUACGGGAGGCAGCAGUGAGGAAUAUUGGUCAAUGGGCGCGAGCCUGAACCAGCCAAGUAGCGUGAAGGAUGACUGCCCUACGGGUUGUAAACUUCUUUUAUAAAGGAAUAAAGUGAGGCACGUGUGCCUUUUUGUAUGUACUUUAUGAAUAAGGAUAGGCUAACGCCGGGCCCGCAGCCGCGGUAAUACGGAGGAUCCGAGCGUUAUCCGGAUUUAUUGGGUUUAAAGGGAGCGUAGAUGGGUUGUUAAGUCAGUUGGGAAAGUUUGCGGCUUAACCGUAAAAUUGCAAUUGAUACUGGCAGCCUUGAGUACAGUAGAGGUGGGCGGAAUUCGUGGUGUAGCGGUGAAAUGCUUAGAUAUCACGAAGAACUCCGAUUGCGAAGGCAGCCUACUAGACUGCCACUGACAUUGAUGCUCGAAAGUGUGGGUAUCAAACAGGAUUAGAUACCCCGGUAGUC
rnacentral:rRNA from 1 species